rnacentral:rRNA from 1 species
GAUGAACGCUGGCGGCGUGCCUAACACAUGCAAGUCGAACGAACAGACGAGGAGCUUUUUCCUCUGACGUUAGCGGCGGACGGGUGAGUAACACGUGGAUAACCUACCUAUAAGUCUGGGAUAACUUCGGGAAACCGGAGCUAAUACCGGAUAACAUGUUGAACCGCAUGGUUCAACAGUGAAAGACGGUCUUGCUGUCACUUAUAGAUGGAUCCGCGCCGCAGUAGCUAGUUGGUAUGGUAACGGCUUACCAAGGCAACGAGGCUUAGCUGGCUGGAGAGGAUGAGAGGCCACACUGGAACAUAGGAACGGCGAAGCCGCCAAGGGGAGGAAGGAGGGGGGAAGUGUGGAAAAUGGGAGAAAGGGUGCCGGACUAAUGCCGCGGGGGAGAGGAAGGUUUGGGGGUCUUAAAGUUGUGUAAUGGGGGAGAACAAGUUGAAGACGAAACGUGGGUCGUGUUGAGGGUACUUAAUAAAGAAGCGCCGGCUAACUACGUG